GCAAGUCGAACGAGAAAGCAUUUUCGGGUGUGAGUAGAGUGGCGCACGGGUGAGUAAUGGAUAGGAACGUACCUCUGAGAGGGGAAUAACCACGGGAAACUGUGGCUAAUACCGCGUACGGUCGCAAGACUAAAGGUGGCCUCUCCUUGGAAGUCUACCGCUUAGAGAUCGGCCUAUCUCCCAUUAGCUUGUUGGUAGGGUAAAAGCCUACCAAGGCUACGACGGGUAGCUGGUCUGAGAGGAUGAUC
rnacentral:rRNA from 1 species